rnacentral:rRNA from 1 species
UACAGAGGGGGCGAGCGUUGUUCGGAAUUACUGGGCGUAAAGGGCUCGUAGGCGGCCAACUAAGUCAGACGUGAAAUCCCCAGGCUCAACCUGGGAACUGCGUCUGAUACUGGAUGGCUUGAAUCCGGGAGAGGGAUGCAGAAUUCCAGGUGUAGCGGUGAAAUGCGUAGAUAUCUGGAGGAAUACCGGUGGCGAAGGCGGCAUCCUGGACCGGCAUUGACGCUGAGGAGCGAAAGCCAGGGGAGCAAACGGG